rnacentral:lncRNA from 1 species
AUGAUUGAUUAUUCCCAUCUACUACAUUAUUUCAGUAAUUUGUCAUCCUUGCUUAAUUUAGCUUAGAAGCUCCACUAUAAACAAGAAAUAUAAGAGAUGCGGUAAUCUGUUACCCAAACGAAGCAGUGGGUAACUUCACUUGUUCGGCUUCACUGUUUUUGUAGACAGUAUUUGUGAGUACUUGUUUUUUUAUUUAAUUUUUCAAAAAUAGCUUGCUAGACUCGUAUUUAUAGUGCAGCUUCCCUUCUCAAUUUUCCAAGUUUGUCAUUGUGGGACAAACUUUUUGUCUAUGGAUGGACCAGUGUCCAACAUGUCUAACCCGUUUUGUCCAUGAGCGAAAUUGGACGAAGUCUAAAUAGACCCGUUUAAAAAUGGGCUUAUCCGUGACCGGUCCAAAAUGUAUUGGACAUGAACAGCCCAUGGGUCGCCCACCCAUUUUGACACCUCUACAUGGAACCAAGUAAUUGACAGAAGAUAGCCUGGUGAGGUUUUCGUACAAGGUCCGAUCUUUCUUGGUUUUUUUUGGUUAUGAGUUUUGUUUUCUACAUUUUUUCUUUAUGCUCAUUAUUAGCUUUUGGCACCAUUAUGGAGGCUAUAGCGCAUAGGAUGGUGAGAAGGUUUUGAGUCAAAGAAGAAGAAAAAGAGAGAAUUGGCAAGGUCAUUCACAACUAGCUUCAAACUAAUAUUUGUACUCAACAAGCUAAUUUCAAUCAAUGUAAUUUAAUUUUCAUAUGUUGUAAUUGAUCAAUGAUAAGUGUGCUGAUGUUUUGAUGUAUAUCCCCU